AAAAGGAGAGAGAGAGAAAAAGAAUUUUAAAAGAAGGGAAAAAAAAAGGUUUGGAAACAGUGUAUAAUGAGUAAUUGAAGAGCAAGCUGAAGUAGUAUAACAAUCGGGUUGAGACGUCUCUUAAAAAUCUUU